CCAACCACAAUGAGUGACAAAACAUGCUAUGGCAGGGUGGCUUAAAACCUUUUGUUGAGGAGCCCAAUUCACUAUCUUACCCUUAUGCCCUUGGAAUUCAUGAGGGUAUGCCAUUUUAUUGUCUUCUCUUAUAACCCAAAGAAAAGGUCUAUUAGUGAGAUCUAGUCCAACGGCAAGUUCAUUGAAUUGGUUUUGGUCAAAAAGAGUGAUACUACCAAAGGCAACAUACAACACAGAACCAUCAGCUUGUUCAUCUAGCCAACUCAUGCAAGAGAGAUCUUCUUUCCAGAAUUGUCCCAUUGAUUUUGUAGCUGCACUUUUGUUAUGAUCAUUAUCAUUGCUUCUCAACAAUGGCCCAAUUGGGAUGAUCUUGGGAAGAAAUAAUAAUGUUCCAGGUUCAAGUUCAUGUGUGGUGUUGCAAAGCCACCACUGUGUCAAAUGUAAACUUCGUAAGCAAUGCAGCAGAUACUUACGCACUUUCUUACCAGUUGUUAGGUCACCGAUAUUCAACCAAAAAAAGUCUUCUGUAUCCAUCUCAGGCAUACUUGGAGAAAUCCGAAUUCUCUUUUUGGUGGUUGAUGUUAAACCUUCAGUGAAAAACCAACAAAAGAACAUUAGCUUAUACAACGUAUAAAUUAAAUUAUAAAUUAUGUUCAAACUUAACAAUACCUAAAUCAGAGUCUAUAACUCCCUCAUCAAUAAGCACAGGGAUGCUGUACACCAAGGUGAAAGUAGCUGCUGAUGCAGGACCCAACACAGCUCCUUGGAUUCCCAGUUUACUCCCAACAUCCAAAGCCCAAGCCAUGCACAAAUCAGCAACAAUGAAGUUGAUUCUCUUCUCACCUUUCACAUGAAUAUCCUCUAUCAACUUCUCAAGUGCUUCUGGCAUGGUUUUUGGAAAGACAUCAUACAGCUUGGCCAGAUCGUUUCUGUCAUCAUCAGGUCCUAAACCAUCAGGGAUUGAAACCAACUUCAGAAGUGAUUCUUCUUCAUCAGGGCUAGAACUAUCUUGUUGCUCCACCAUGGAACUCACCACUCUCCUGUGGUUAAAGUCUGUGUUCACAAAAAUGACUUUGCAUCCAUUCUCAAUCAGCUUCUGUGAGAAGGUCAUCAUGGGAUUCACAUGCCCUUGUGCUGGAAGUGGUAAAGCUAGCACAGUUGGAGCUCUCAUGUUCAGUGUUUCUAUUUGGUUUCUAUUGAUUUUGAUUUCUGAGGCUAAUUAUGCAUUCAUCAGUUCAUGUAUAUAGGCACAACCCCUCACACGUAUUUACCAAGCAAUUACAAAUCUAGAUCAUGAUCACUCUAAAUUUUCUGCUAUCACAAAUUUCUUGUAAGCAGAAAUGUAGAAAGUUUGUGUGGUCACAUCAAUAAUUUUGUCAUUCUAUACCUCUUUACUUUUCCUUGUACUUCUCUGAUUGGACUUCAGUGUUUUUGUCAUUAAACUUUUGCUUUUUUACUUUAUUAAUUGAUUCAGCAUUAUGCUGUUAUUUCAUUACGAGAAUUAUUAAUUACAGUAAGAAAUAUCUCUUUUAAUUUGAAUCAAUUUGAAAGGAAAGGUAAUAAAUGAAAAUUUCCAAAUAAUAAACUACAUUUUCUAAGGUUGAGGUACAAAUAUAAAGGUUAAAAAUGGAAAUAUACAAUUUUCUUUCAUUACCAGAAAUAUUGCAUAUAGUGUGGACCUAAGACUAGGACAUAAAGAGGUAAACACUGAUCCUACAUAGUUGUUAGUGUCGGCAACAUAGUUGUUAGUGUCGGCAACUGUCUUAUUAAAAAUAAAAACACUACAAGAAAAUCAUAAAAUAAAAAUCAAUUUUUAGAGAUCAAAAUAAUUACUUACAAUAGGAACUAAAAUAGAGACCAUUUUAGAAACUAAAAAAAAAUUGAUUUCUAAAUUAGUUUCUAUUAUUUUCUAUUAUUGUUAAAUAGUUGUAUCUAAUUAGCAACUAAAGUUUUAACUACCAAUUAUUUAGUUUCUAAAUUUGGUCUCUAAAACUUUGGUUGCUAAUUAGAUACCAAUUUAGAAACUAUUUAACAAUAAUAUAAACUAAUUUAGAAACUAAAUUUCUUUUUAAUUUCUAAAAUGGUCUCUAAUUUAGUUAUUAUUGCAACUAAUUAUUUUGGUUUCUACAAAUUGGUUUCUAUUUAAUGAUUUUAUUCAAGUGAAACUAAUAUAAAAUAAAAACUGAUGCAGAUUGAAUCAGCUAAAUCAAUGCAAGUUUACGUUGUGUAUAUUAAUUAAAAAUUAAAAUGAAUUAGACGGACACAAAUUAAACUGGAUAAAAAUAGAUUUAAUUUUAGUAUCGUUUUAGCAGAUGUAUUUUUUAGAAAUAAAAAUAAUAUUACGUAGAAAAUUAUUAAAUAUAAAAUAAUUUUAAAAAAAUUAGUUACUAUAGUAAUUAAAUUAGAGAUUAUUUUAAAAAUUAAAAAAAUUAUUAGUUUUUAAAUUAGUUUUUAAUAUUGAUAAAUAAUUUUUAAAUUAAUAUCUAAUUAGUUAUUAAGGUUUUAACUAUUAAUUAUUUAGAUUCUAAAUUUGAAACCUCGAUGAUUAAUUAAAUACCAAUUAAAAAAUUUAUUUAUUAAUAAUAGAAAAUAAUUUAAAAACUAAUAAUUUUUGUUUUUAAUUUUAUUACUAUAACAACUAAUUAUAUUUUAUUUUUAAAAUUGAUUACUAUUUAGUGAUUUUUUUUUACGGUAAAUAAUAUAUAAGUUAGUGUGUUAUUGGUCGAUGGAAUAUUAGACGCUGGCUGGUAUAUGUAAUUUGGAGUCUAUUUGGAAAUGAAAUUUGAACUUGUUUUCUCAAAUUAAUGCCAGAUUAUAUUUGAACUAAAUUUUAAUUAAUUCAAAUUUAAUUUGAGUGAAUAUAAUACUUGUGAUUAAUUAUAAUAAAGAAAUAAAUUUACAAUAAUACUAAAUUAUUUUAAGAAUUAUAUUAAACAUAGUUGCAACUAAUUUAAAGUUAUAGUCCAAAUUCUAAAUUGAAAUAAAUAUUAAAAUUAAACUAUAACAUGUGCUCUUGUUAUUGGAAUCCAAAUCAUAAUUGAAAUUGGACUAUAAUGUAUAUGUCUUGUAAUCCUAAAUAAAGUAGAAUGAAAAUUUAAGGAUAGUUAUAACAAUUCUCAUGCAGACAUAUGAGUUUUAACAAAGAAAUCAGAUUUGAUACUUCCAUCGCAUCGUUAGAAUUCAAAGAAAUAAUAAAGAAUGUAAUGUAUAAGUGCGUUUGUCUUUAUUGGAAUGGAGAGGAUUCCCACCAAUGCCAAAAGGGCAUUUGUUUUGAUGGGAAUGAAUAUGAUUUUCUCCAAUUAUAGGAGGACAUUUGUCAACCUCUAAUUUGAGAUGAUUUGCUCUAAUUAGAGAGAGUCACAUGUCCUUCUAUGACGGGAGAGUUUUUAGGAUUAAAACUUACACUUUGGUUGCACAUAACACUAUAAAUACAAUAGCUAGCCCUCUUGUAAAGGAGUUUUGAAUAGAUUAUUGAAUUGCUGCCAAAUUUCAGCCCCAACUAGUCUCUUAGCUCACUCCUCGCUAGCCUUAUUUGUAAGUGGUUAGCAUAGAAGUUCUUAGGAGUUGGUCUAACUUCUCUUAAGCUUCAUUAUUAUUCUCUAUACACCAAUAUUUCAGAGGUUCUUUCACUCAUUUUAGUCACCAAAUUUCACAUCUCAAAAGAUAUAAAACAAAAGAAACAAAGUCAUAUGCAAGCUAGGAUUGCAUCACCUAGUACCCAAGUGGUUAGAUCUAUGGCCACAAAGUAAGCAAUAUGUGCUUGAUAGAAUAUUCUCUUGUGAAUUAGGGUUUAAGCUGUUUAGGUAUUUGGAUGUAUGACACACAGACAGUGGGUUUAGGAACUAGUAAAAAAAGGUUGUCUGAAGAGGAUAAAUAUGUGGAAAUGAAAUAUAAAAGAAAAGCUAAAAUCUCUAAACAAAACAAGUGUGUGGAACAAAAGAUGUGUUUCGGCAAAUGCUAAGAAAAAUGGAAGAGUGUGUCCUAAAAAUUAGUGAGUUGGACAUAAAGGGAUGAACACUAAAGUUCAUAUGAAGCUUGUAGAACAGAAAGAAAAAUAUAUAUUUGCAUCUAACAUCAUAUCUUUCGAAUAAAGAGUGACUCUAGAGUAAGAAAAAUUGAACAAUAUAAGACAAUAUGAAUUUUUUUCAAGGACGAAAAUAUAAAAAAAAGACUCUAAUCGAUGACUUAGUUUAACAUAUAUAGUUGUCAUUUACAACUACUAUGGAUAAAGAGCAAUUAGAAGAUUACAAUAUUUACAAAGAUAAUAUUAUUAAAAUAUAAACCGAAAUUCACAUAAUUAAGAACAAGUUUAAAUUUAAAAAAUCUUUAAUUUUGAUAAUAACCAAUAAUAUUAUAUUUUAAUUAAAAGAUAAAAUUCGACGGUGUGUCUCAGCUCACCAAAUUUUAUCACAAUUGAAAAGCUCAUUGGUGACCUUUUACCCUUUAAUAUCGACCACCUACUUUACUUUUUUUGUUGGAUCAAUCAAUUAUUAGGAUAUUAAUAAUUGGAUUACUGGUAAAUAUUUAGACCACAAAGAUUUAUAUAAUUUUUUAUUUUCUCCAAGAUAGAGCCUUGUUUCUUGCCGUGUCAUAUAUGUGUCCCUUGUUACCAAGGGAUGGUUUUGCUAUUUUUGGAUGCUUUGAAGCCUUUAAAAAGACCUUUUCAACCAAACAAAAAUAGCCACAGAAUUACAUAGAGAAAAAAUGUUUGCUGAAGUAUUUAUAGAAAGAAAAUCAUUAGAUAAAAAAUAAAAAAUAGCUACGGAAUUACAGAAAAAAAAAAUAUUUACCGAAAUAUUUAUGCAAGACAAAAAAAUCAUUAAAAAAUAAUUUUAAAGAUAAAAAAUAGUUAAUUUAUUAUAUUAAUUAAAUUAUAUACUAUUUUAGAUAUUAAAAAAAAUUAUUGAUAUUUAAAAUAGUUUCAAUUAUUAAUAAAUAGUUUUUAUUAUUGAUAAAUAGUUCCAAAAUAUCACUAAAAAAAAUAUGAAAUAGAAAUCAAUUUUUAAAAAUCAAAAUAAUUAGUUACAAUAGUAACUAAAUUAGAGACCAUUUUAGAAACUAAACAAAAAUUUGAUUUUUAAAUUAGUUUCUAUUAUUGUUAAAUAGUUUCUAAAUUGGUAUCUAAUUAGCAAGGUUUUAACUACCAAUUAUUUAGUUUUUAAAUUUGAUCUCUAAAACAUUGGUUGCUAAUUAGAUACCAAUUUAGAAACUAUUUAAUAAUAAUAAAAAUUAAUUUAAAAACUAUUUUUUGUUAGUUUAUAAAAUAGUCUCUAAUUUAGUUACUAUUACAACUAAUUAUUUUGGUUUCUAAAAAUUGGUUUCUAUUUCAUGAUUUACUUGUAGUGUAUUUAAUUAUACUAUAAGAAAAUCACAACCAAAUUUAGGAACAAAAUAAUUAAUCACUAUAUUAACUAAAUUAGAUACUAUUUUAAAGACUAAAAAAUUAUUAAUAUCUAAAAUGAUUUUUAUUAUUAAUAAAAAAUUAUAAAAUAAUUUUUAAAUUGUUAUCUAAAUUAGCUACCAAAAUUUUAUCUACUAAUAUUUAAUAAAUAUGAAUUAUUGAAAUGAAGCAACAUCAAGUUAAUUAUCAUUUCAAUGCAUGGUACCACUUUAUGUAAAAUGAUUUCAUCUUGCUCGUUAAUUGUAUCAAUCAAACAACUUAAUUCAACAGUUGAAUCCAACACUUAAAUGCAAAAUGAAUCAAAUUCAAGUUGGCAACUAAAGUCACUUGUUGAACUCAAAAAAGUUUCAGAAUUAUAUAAGAGUGCCAACUAAGGACAUCUUCCAUGCAACAAAGAAAUUUAAACACUGAUUGCAAACCAUAAAUGCUAAAACUAAAUUAAUGAAAUUGCAACACAAAUUUUCACUUAAUAAUAUUUUCCAAAUUGAAUAUAUAGUUCCUUAAAUUAUUUAAAACAAAUUUACAGAACAUCAAUACCAAUACUUCUCUAGAAAACACCAAACACCAGUUACCGUAGGGUUGUAAUUUUUAUAAAUCACAAAUUUACUGCACCAUGAAACCAGAUCCAUAACAAUUUAUGUAAUGUAAACAAUUAUUUUAACUUUGUCCUCAAGUCAAAUCAAACAGUAAUUUCUAUCAAGCACAUAAACACCAAGAACUUCAAUUCUAAACCAUCAAAGAUCAAAACUGGAAAUUUUAUACUUCACCACAGAGUUUGACAAUAAGACUGGACUGAAUUGACAGAGUUUGACAAUAAGACUGGACUGAAUUGUGAGAUGACGUACACCAACAACUACCAGAAUGUUCAAUGGCUUAAACCAUUCAUAGAGUAAAUUGGAUAGAAACAAUAAUUGUUACUCACCACGAAACAAUUCAAUUUCCAAUUAAACAGGGAAUGUAAUCAAAAUUAUGUAUAAUUUAUGCUCUACACACGCAAAAGUUCUAGCAAUCACCAACUCAAAAGAGUAAAAUUGUGCCACUUUAAAUUACUGUUUCGAAAAUUCAAUGACACAAGAAAAAUAUUGCACUGACUUCAAUUACAAUAAUAAAGCAUUUAUACCAACACGUUAUUUGCACUUUAACCAACACGCAAAUGUUUGAAUUAUCAAUGCUUCAACGAGUCAACACAAAAGUAAUUUGAUCAAUGACACACAAAAAAAUCACUAAUGUCCCCAUUCAAUUUAGUGGAAAUGCUCGUGCAUAUUACAUUCAUAUCAACAAAAAGAGUGAAGAGAAAUUACAAUUUCCAAAUUAACACUACAAGAAAAUCAUAAAAUAGAAAUCAAUCUUCAGAUACCAGAAUAAUUAGUUGCAAUAGUAACUAAAUUAGAGAUUAUUUUAAAAAUUAAACAAAAAAUUGGUUUCUAAAUUAGUUUCUAUUAUUUUCUAUUAUUGUUAAAUAGUUUUUAAAUUGAUAUCUAAUUAGCAACCAAAGUUUUUUAGACCAAAUUUAGAAACUAAAUACUUGGUAGUUAAAACCUUGAUUUAGUGUAACCUCAAGGAAGAAGCGUGUAAAAUAGAGUUACAAGUGAAGAAUGGUGAAGAGUGAAUGUCACCAUGCGCAGGAGUUUAUAAAAGAAAAAUAUUAAAAUACUUUACUGUGAUUUUAUGAAAAAACCACGGACACUUACCAAAGGUUUAAAAAAAAUGUGUACUAUGUGUAUGUCUUAAUAGAAAUUAUAGUAACAUUAAGUAAUAAACCUCUCCUAAAAUUAUAAAUUUUUGUAAUGCCUAAACUAGCAUAUUUGUUGAAGAUGACCAAAUAAGAAAACUAGGAGUUGGAAAGGAAGUGAAAGUUCCAUUAAUUAUACUCAUUUUGGAAAUAAAAUUUAAUACUCAUUAUGUUUCAAUUCUAUUUCUAUAUGAUAUAACUAUAUCUAUUUAAAUAUGUAUUAAAUAACUUUUAAAAAAAAGUAAACUUAAAUCAAAAUGAUAUUAUUUAGAAUUCAAUUUAAAAUGUAUUUCUUUAAUAUCAAAUAACAGUUAUUAUGAAGUGGGUUUGCACCCUCUCAUACCAUAUUACGAAGUGGACUUUAAGUCUAACUCAAAGCCAUAAAACCGGCUCAAUGGGGUGAGGUUUGCACCCACUUAUAUACUAUGAAAGGCUCUAAUCUCUAAUCGAUGUGGGAUUGCACCCACUUAUAUACUAUGAAAGGCUCUAAUAUCUAGUCGAUGUGGGAUCUCCAACAACAGUGAAAAAAUUAUAAUAAUAUAAUAUUCAAAAUAAAGUACUAAAUAAAAUAAAAUUAAUUUUAGAAUUUAAAAUAGAAGGUGUAUAGGAAUGAGACGAAUAUCUAUUUAGAUAUCUUUAUCAUUUUAGUGAAACGACGGGAUUACAAUGGUAGAAAAAUACCCAAGGAUAUUUAUGGAUUGAAACUAAUAUGAAAACACAUGCUAGAAAAUGGAAUAACAAUAUAUGAGAGUUCAAGUGGAGGAAAAAUUGGUUUUGAAUGGGGAAGGCUAUGGUAGAAGCGUUUAAGACAGAUUUAACAAAAAUUAAGCCAAAUAAAAAUAUUGACAUAUGUAGAAAUUCUUUCGUAUAUUCUGAAAACAUAGGUACUAGUUGUAUAAAGUCUAAAUCCUUAGGACAAAACAAAGCCAAAAAAACAAGCAAAAGACUCUUCAAAUUGCAACAAAUAAAAAUUAUUGUACAAUAUUCCUUAUUCAUAAAUGCAUCAUGUCGAUCUAAGUGCAUUUGCAUUGUCUAAUAACAUAAUUAAUAACAUAAUAAAUUGGGUAUUACACACAUUUAUUUUGGCAAUUUUAGCUGCAUGGGUUAUGCAGAUUACUGCAUCCAUUAUUGAUUAUUGAGGAACUAUCAUGGUACAAAAAAAGACUAAUCCAAACCUAGAAUUAACAUUUAAGCACAAAAUCUGAGCUCUUAUUCCUUUAUGGCCUUCACAAAGCUCUUAAAGUUCUCAUAAGAUGUUCCUCCUUUUGCUAUGUUCUUCAUCACUUUCUCCUUCAACACCACACACCUACAUUUUAUGUUCUCAUCAUUAAAGAUCUGUUCCACUUUGGUUUUCAACUCUCCGCGUGACACAACUCCAUUUUCAUCUUUGUCAAUUCCCAACCCAACCUUUAACUCAUCACAAAUAUGUUCUUUGUUGUAAAGUUGGUCUCCAAAGUAUGGCCAACACAAGAAAGGUACCCCAAUGGACAAACCUUCCAUGGUAGAAUUCCAACCACAAUGAGUGAGAAAACAUGCUAUGGCAGGGUGGCUUAAAACCUUUUGUUGAGGAGCCCAAUUCACUAUCUUACCCUUAUGCCCUUGAAAUUCAUGAGGGUAUGCCAUUUUAUUGUCUUCUCUUAUAACCCAAAGAAAAGGUCUAUUGGUGAGGUCUAGUCCAAGGGCAAGUUCAUUGAAUUGGUUUUGGUCAAAAAGAGUGAAACUACCAAACGCAACAUACAGCACAGAACCAUGAGGUUGUUCAUCUAGCCAACUCAUGCAAGAGUCAUCUUCUUUCCAGAAUUGUCCCAUUGGUUUGGUGGUUGCACUUUUGUUAUUAUCAUUGUCAUUGCUUCUCAACAAUGGCCCAAUUGGGAUGAUCUUAGGAAGAAACAACAAUGUCCCAGGUUCAAGUUCAUGUGUGGUGUUGCAAAGCCACCACUGUGUCAAAUGUAAACUUCGUGCACAAUGCAGCAGAUACUGAAGCACUUUCUUACCAGUUAGGCCACCCAUAUUCAACCAAAAAAAGUCUUCUGGGUCCAUCUCAGGCAUACUUGGCGAAAUCCGAAUUCUCUUUUUCGUAGUUAUUGUUAAACCUUUAGUGAAAAACCAACAAAAAUAAAAAAAAGCUUAUGCAGUAUACUACAAAUUAAAUAAAAACUAAUAUUGAAGAUAAGAAAAAAAUUAUUCAAUUACCAAGAUACCAGAGACUUAAAAAAAAAUUAUAUUAUUAAUAUCUAAAUAAUUUUUAUUAUUAAAAAAAUUAUAAACUAAUUUCUAAAUUAGUGUAUAAUUAAUUAUUAAUGUUUUAGUUAUGUACUAUAUUUUAGUUAAUAAUUAAAUAAAUAUUAAUUUAUAAAUUAUAUUAAUAAUGUAAAUUAUUUUAAAUAUCAGUAAUUUUUUAAUCCUUGAAAUAAUAUUUAAUUUAGUUAAUAUAAUAGUUAAUUAUUUUUAUUUGUAAGAUUGAUUAUAUAAAUUAAAUUAAAUUAUAAAAUAAUUUCUAUAAAUUACUUUCUAAAUGAAUUAAUUUAACUAAUAAAAAAAUUUACGUCAUUAUUUUCUGUUUAGAAAUUCUUGUGAAAAGAAAUGUUCAAACAUAACUCUAACAUAAUAUUCUUACCUAAAUCAGAGUCUAUAAUUCCCUCAUCAAUAAGCAUAGGGAUGUUGUACAGCAAGGUGAAAAGAGUUGCUGAUGCAGGACACAACACAGCUCCUUUGAUUCCCAGUUUACUGCCAACAUCCAAAGCCCAAGCCAUGCACAAAUCAGCCACAAUGAAGUUGAUUCUGUUCUCACCUUUCACAUGAAUAUCCUCUAUCAGCUUCUCAAGUGCUUCUGGCAUGCUUUUUGGAAUGGCCUCACACAGCUUGGCCUGAUCGUUUCUGUCAUCAUCAGGUCCUAAACCAUCAGGGAUUGAAACCAACUUCAGAAGUGAUUCUUCUUCAUCAGGGCUAGAACUAUCUUGCUGCUUCACCAUGGAACUCACCACUCUCCUGUGGUUAAAUUCUGUGUUCACAAAAAUGACUUUGCAUCCAUUCUCAACCAACUUCUGUGCGAAGGUCAUCAUGGGAUUCACAUGCCCUUGUGCUGGAUAUGGUAAAGCUAGCACAGUUGGAGCUCCCAUGUUCAGUGUUUUUGUUUGGUUUCUAUUGAUUCUGAUUUCUGAGGCCAAUUAUGCAUUCAUCUGUUCAUGUAUAUAUAGGCACAGCCCCUCACAUUAAAAACGUUAAUCAAUGGCCUCACUAUAUCAUAAUCACGUAUAUACCUACCAAUUACAAAUCUAUGUCAUGAUCAGUCUAAAUUUUCGGCUAUCAUACUAACUUCUAUGAAUAAGAAAUGUAGAAUGUUUCUCUGUUCACAUCAGUAAUUUAUUCAUUCUAUAUCUUGUCACAUUUCCUCGCACUUUCUCUGAUUCGACUUUUCCUGUUUUUAUCAUUAAACUUUUGUUUUUCUACUUUGUUAAUUGAUUUAGCAUUAUGUUGUCAUUAAACUAAGAGAAUUGUAUAAUUAUUGUAAAAAAUAUCUUUUUUAAUUUGGAUGUAUUUGAAAGGGAAAGGUAAAAAAUGAAAAUUUGGAUGUGAACACAAACGUUCUACAUAGAAACUUUCUACACAGAAACUUUCCACAUUUCUAAAAUUUGACAAGUACAUAUAAACACUAAAAGUGGAAAUAUAGCAUUUUUUGGGUUCCAAGAUUCCUCUGAUAAAAUAUUCUGUUUUUUUUUUUUUUGUCUCUAAUCAGUUUUAAUUCAUAGGCCAAUUAGCUUUUUUUUUUCACCCAUGUAUGUAUAUAAGACACAAUUUUACUCUUUCUAAUUACUCAUUUUGAAUAAUAUUCUGCUUUUCAUACGAGCGUUUCUUCUCUUCUCUGUUCUUCUCCGCUUCUUUGUUUUUGUCAGAAUCAUCAAAGAUUUCUUUUUCUUUUUCUAUAAUUGUCAUUAAUAUUUUGUAAUAUGGUCUUAAAACUCUUCAUCGUGAAGGGCUCUGUUGUGCGCACUCUGAUUCCUUCUUCAUUCUUGAUAUUUCGUUCUUUCGCAAAUUUUUCAAUAUUUUUCUCUUUUUUUUUUUUACUAAUGAGUUUCUCUUUUGCAUUUUUGAAGUUGGUCUCAAUGAGUACAAAAAAUCCUGAUCGAAGCAAAAACCCUAACCCUAACCAGAAUAAAAAUCCCAUUCAAAGUGACAAUCUUGCUCACAACUUCUUAUACUUCACUCGAGUGAAAACCCUGCAACUCCUCUCGUAUCUAGUUCUUGAUUUGACAAAUUACCACUCUUGGAGUCGCUCAGAUACCACUAUGUUAAGUGCAAAUAACAAGGUAGAGUUUAUCAAAGAUGUGAUACCUCAGCCCUCUGAAUGGGAUCCCUUCUUCUCGUCCUGGAUGUGAUGCAAUGACAUGGUGGCGUCUUGGCUUGUGCAUUCGGUUUUUGUUCCCAUACGUAAAAGCAUCAUAUAGAUGGAUAAGGCACUAGAUGUCUGGAAUGACCUUAAAGCUCACUUCUCACAAUGUGAUAUGUCUUGCAUUUCUGACCUCCAAAUGGAGGCCUCUCCUAUCAAUCAUGGUGAUCUUUCUGUAACUAAUUAUUUCACCAAAAUUAGGGUUAUUUGGGAUGAAUUAGAUAAUUUUAGACUUGAUCAUGUAUGCACCUGUAAUGGUUUUUCUGUUAUUGUCCAAAGAAAAAGAGAGGAUCAAGCCAUGUAGUUUUUACAUGGCCUCAAUGGUCAAUACAAUAACGUAAAGGCCCAUGUUCUUCUCAUGGAGCAUGUCCUUGCUAUUACUAAGAUUUUUUCUAUGGUUGUUAAACAAGAGCGUCAAUUUAAUAAUAGUUUAGUUGCUCAUAUAAGAAAUAAUAAUUAUGUUAUUCAUACCAAUGUCAAUUCUGUUACUUUUUUAGAAAACUGGGUCACAAUGUAUCUUUUAAGAAAAAUGGUUAUCCUAACCAAGAUUGUAAGGGAUCAAGAUCUGGCAGUAAUAACAGAAAGGUUUGUACCUACUAUAAUAAGAAUGGGCACACUGUAGAUGUCUGCUAUAAGAAAAAUGGAUACCCCCCAGGUAUAGAUUUCAAUAUGGUAAUUUUUCUCAUGCCAACGAUGUUGUUGCUCAAGAAGACAUUGUUGGUGGUCAAGAUCAGAAUAAAAAUAAUGGUAGUGGUGACUUUCGAAUCACCCAAAGUCAGUUUCAAAUCCUUUCGAAUAUUUUGAAGAAUGUAAAUGUCUCAAAUAGUCAAGCUCAAGUGAACCAGGUUGGUUCCAUUUCUGUUGAUCCUCAAGAUCAAAAUUCAGUUGUGACAGGUAAUCUUUAUGGAUUUCAAAAUUUUAUCUUCAAUAAGCAUGCUUGGAUUCUAGAUUUUGGUGCAACAAAUCAUGUUUGUUUUGACCUAUCUAAUUUUGCAUCAUAUGAUGUUAUUAAAACCAUUAUUAUUAAACUUCCUAAUGGAAAUUUUGUUACUGAUUCCUACUUUGGUAUAAUAACUUUUAGUGAUAGAUUUGUUAUGAAAAAUGUCUUAUAUGUGCCAAAUUUUUCUUUUAAUUUGAUUUCCAUAUCUCAAUUUACUACAUCUCUUAAAUGUGAGCUUAGUUUCUCCUCUGCUGAGUGUUCAAUACAGAAUUCCAUAACCAAAGACAAGAUUGGUAUAGUUGAUGUUGUGGUUGAUUUAUAUGUCUUCAACAAAGCUGGCAAAAAUAUUCUAAGCAAUGUUACAAAACAAACGAAUAUUUGGCACCUCCAAAUGGAUCAUCCUUCAAAAGAAAGGUUAAAAGUUUUACAAACUUAUAUCCUAAUAUUCAUAUUGAUAAGGACUACAUUUGUGAUGUUUCUCAUCAAGCAAAACAAAGAAAACUUUAUUUUUCCCUUAAUGACACUAGAAUUGUUCAAUCUUUUGAAUCACUUCAUAUUGACAUUUGGGGUCCUUGUUCGGUUGUUUCAAUGCUUGGUCCUAAAUUUUUCCUUACUAUAGUACAUGAUUUACUAGGUAUACUUCGAUUUUUCCCACAUAAUAAGUCUGAAGUCAGGGUUAAUGUUACCAAUUUUAUAACUUGUGCUGAAAAUCAAUUUUCUACUAAAGUUAAAAUUAUUCAUACUGAUAAUGGCAUUGAUUUUUUCAUGCUUAAUUUCUUUGCAUCCAAAGGUAUUAUCCAUCAAACUACUUCUAUUGAAACAUCCGAGCAAAAUGGCAUUGUUAAAAGAAAACAUCAAUACCUUUUGAAUGUCACUCGCACUUUACUUUUUCAAUCUAGUCUCCCUGGUGUUUUUUGGUAUUUUGUUGUGCAACAUAUUGCAUUUCUUAUUAAUUGCAUUCCUACUCCGCUACUUAACAAUGUCACUCCCUAUGAAAAAUUAUACAAAAGUUGCGUGAUAUUUCUCGUUUACGUGUUUUUAGAUGUUUGUGCUACUUUUCUACCAUUCUUGCUCAUAGAAAAAAAACUUGACAAUCGUGUUGUUCCUGAUGUUUUCCUUGGUUUUAAACUUAAUACAAAAGGUUUCCUCUUCUUGAACCUUAAAAGUCAGAAAAUAGAUUUAUCUAUAAAUGUUAUUUUUCAUGAAAAUUGUUUUCCUUAUUACACCAAGUAUGUACAAAAUAAUGAUUUCAAUAGUCUCUCUUUAUGCCCAGACUUAUGAUGAUCUUAACAUGCAAUCUGAAAAUAAUGUUCAUGAUGUUUUACUUGAUAAUACUGUUGAAACUAAUGUUGAGAUUGAACAAAGUGAGAAUGUUACUGCUUCUUCUAGAAGAUCAACUCAUAGUAGAAGAAUGUCAGCUUAUUUACAAGACUUUGAGGUAUCUAAUAUCAGUAACAAUACGGUAAGUACUAAAUACCCAAUUAAUUCCCUUUUAAAUUACAAUUCUUUGUCUGAUAAUUUCAAAUAUACAAUCAUGUUGAUUUCAUCUACCGAGGAACCUCGAAAUUAUGAGGAAACUAUCAUGCACCCAUCCUGGGUCCAAGCAAUGAAGGAAGAACUUAAGGCACUCGAAGAUAACAAAACUUGAUCUGUAACCGAGCUUCCUCUAGGGAAAACUGCCAUUGAAUUUUGUUGGUUGUAUAAAGUUAAACACAAAGCAGAUGGCUCUAUUGAACGCUACAAAGCCCGUUUGGUAGCAUAGGGCUACACUUAAAUCGAAGGUCUUGAUUUUCUAGAUACUUUUGCUCCUAUAGCAAAGAUAACCACUUUUCAAUUGCUUCUUGCCUUGGCAGCAGCUCACAACUGGACAAUAAAGCAACUUGAUGUUAACAAUGUUUUUUUGCAUGCGAAAUUAGAUCAAGAAGUAUACAUGGUUCUACCUCCAGGACUUCACUUUUCAUCUACAAAUCUGGUUUGUCGCCUCAGAAAGUUGCUCUAUGGCCUCAAACAAGCAGGAAGGCAGUGGUAUGCUAAGCUUUCAAACUUUCUACUUUCUCAUAAAUAUAAUAUUUCCACUACUGACCAUUCUUUGUUUUGAAACAUGUUGGCAAUUACACCAGGGCAAUUCUGGUCUAUGUGGAUGACAUUAUCCUCACUAGGAACAACCCCAUGGAGAUAUCCAAUAUAAAAAUUCUGUUGAAUAAUUGUUCCCAUAUAAAAAAACCUUGGUGAUUUAACGUAUUUUCUGAGCAUUGAAGUAGCACGCAAUGCCACUAGCAUCCACUUAAGUCAAAGGAAGUACGUCUUGGAUUUACUCAAACACACUGGAAUGCUUGGUUGUGCUCUUGUGCCUACACCUAUGCUUCACACAUCAAUACUAUCAGCAACCAAAGGUGUUCCUCUUGAUGACAAGGAAGCCACUGCAUAUAGGCAUCUCAUUGGACGUCUUAUCUACCAAACAAAUACUCGGCCUGAUAUAGCUUUCUCAGUAAAUGACCUCAACCAGUUUGUCUCCAAACCUAUAAAUGAGCAUCACCAAGCAGUCAUGCGUGUUCUUUGAUAUCUAAAGAAUGCUCCUGGAACAUGUAUAUUUUUUUAUAGCCAAACUCCUAUUCAAUUAAAAGCCUAUACUGAUUCUGAUUGGGCAACUUGUCUCGAAACUAGAAAAUCUAUAACUGUCUUUUUUGUUAUUUGGGAGAAUCUUUAUUUCUUGGAAAUCCAAGAAACAACAAACUAUAUCAAGAAGUUCAUCUGAAACUGAGUAUCACGCUCUAGCUGCCACCACCUACGCAAUUCAGUGGAUCACAUAUCUAUUAGUUGAUCUUCACAUCAAGCAUCUGCAACCAACUUUGCUAUAUUGUGACAAUUAAGCUGCAAUUCAAAUUGUAAACAACCAAGUGUUCCACGAGAGGAUAAAAUAUAUCGAAAUCGACUGUCACGUGGUGAGGUAGAAACUCAACGCUGGACUUCUUAAACUUCUUCCAAUAUCAUCCUCUCUUCAAGCUACAUAUUUCUUCACCAAAACUUCUUCCUACAACCAGCUCAACAUUCUGCUUUCCAAACUACGAAUGAAAACCAUUUACUCCUAACUUGAGAGGGAUUGAUAAAAUAUUCUAUUUUUAAUUUUCUGUUGGGUCUGUAAUCAAUUUUUAUUCAUAGGGCAGUUAGUUUUUCUUUUUGCACCCUGUAUAUAAGACACAACUUUACUCUUUCUAAAUACUCUUUUAAAUAAUAUUCUGCUUCUCAAACGAGCGUUCCUUCUCUUCUCUUCUUUACUUCUUUCAGAAUCACCAAAGAUUUCUUUCCCUUUUCCUCCUGUAAUUGUCAUUGAUAUUUUGUAAUAUCCUCGUCUCUAAUCUGCUAAUAAGUUUCCAUAUUCUUGUAGCUAAUUGCAUUUCAGAAGGAAAAUACUAUUUCGUUACGAAAUGGUUUUCGUAUACGAAACACAGAUUGUUCUGAUAGCUUGUUUAUCAUUUUUUAUAAAAAAUAGAAUAGCCUAAAAUACUUCUUAUUCUUCUAUUUUUCGUCGAUAAAAAAAAAUGCUCAUUCGUAAGUUUUGCGUUUGUAUUUCUCAUCAGAAAGGCUAAUUUGUAAGAGCAUGAUUUAUAUAUUAUUUUAAUUUUUAAUUAAUAUUUACUUGUCAUUCACGUAAUAGUUCUCGUGUUUAUGAAUUUGCUCUUUCGGGUUUAGACUAACUAAAUAAUGUUGAAAUAGAAAGAUUCACUACAAGACAUAAUAUCGAAAAACCAAAAAAUAUAUUUACCUAGAUAUGUUCAAUAUAAGUAAAUUUUAAAAUUUAUAGCUAUAUAUGUUUCAUAUUGAUAAAACCUAUUAACAUUAAUACCUACAUCUACUUAAUAUAAGUAAGAUUUCAAUAAAAUAUUUAAGUAACAUUAUUUCAAUAAUAUUAUUAAAUAAAAUAAAUUUCUUAUUAUUUGAAAUUUUUUUAAACUUAUAUUACUUUAAAAUAUCUAUAUAAUUAUUAUGUUUUUCACUAUUUAUAUAUUAUUAAUAAAAAAAAUAAAAGUGUAAGUAUUUUAAAGGGAUAAUCAGAACAAGAAUAUUUUUUCUUAAAUAUUUGUUUUAGUGAAAUUUGGAUGGAUAAUUUUUAUCGUUUUAUUAUUUGAAAUUUAAACUAAAACUUACUAUAGAAAAUUAUAUUAAAUAGAAAUCAAUUUUAAAAAAAUUAGUUAAUUGUUAUAUUGAUUAAAUCGGAUAUUAUUUUAAAGACUAAAACAAUUAUUUAUAGUAUCUAAAUUAUUUAUACUAGUGGAAAUAUAGGUGCACUUGCGCCUUUGUAUCCACAUUUUUCUCUUUUAUUCAAUUUUUACGAUGAUAGAAAUGUAGCAUACAUAUAGAAAUAAUUUUGGAUGAUGAGUUGAAAUUGAAAAACAAAAAAUGGAGUGCAGAGAGUGAUUCAAAAUGGAGGUUAUUUCAUUUUAUAUGUUACAUUUUAAUGUGAAAAUGUGUGAGAGUAUGUUCUUUUUUUUUCGGUUGUUGCCUUAAAAUAAGGAACUAAGGAAAGAGUGGGGAAUCAUAUAAAAACAGUACAUUAAUAUUAAUUUAAAAAAUUAAAAAAUAAUUUGAUUUUUUAAGUAAUUCAUAUGAAAUGACAAAAUACUCCACUAUAUUAAUAAAAUGAGAUAUAUUAAAUUAGGGUAGAAUCGCAAAAAAUUUGUUUACACCAAAAAGCGGUUAUAUUGGGGAAUCCCCUGUAUAGAUUAUUGAUAAAUAGUUUCUAAUUGAUAUCUAAUUAGUUACCAAUUAUUUAUAUUCUAAAGUUGGUAACUAAUUAGAUAUUUAAAAAUUAUUUAUUGAAAAUAGAAACUAAUUUAGAUAAUUAUAAUUUUUUUAGUCUCUAAAAUAAUAUCUAAUUUAGUAAAUAUGAUUAUUAUUGACAAUUAUUAUAUUAAUUUAGUAAAUAUAACAACUAAUUAUUUUUUUCUUUAAGAUUAAUUUUUAUUAAUGAUUUCACUCUAAAACUGAUUUCACACCACACUGGAUUUUUUUCCUUAUUUUAUUUUUAAAAAAAAAGAUGAAUUUUUGGUUACUAUCAGUUUCUUUCUUUCUCUUGCUCUCUCUUAGGCUCUUUAAUGAGAGUUUGAAAUUUCUUAACUCCAUUUUUCCUAUAGAAUAUUUAGCACUUAUUUAUUAGCUUUGUUAAGAUUUGAAGUCAUCUCUUCUUUUUUGUGUUAAAUUAUUUUGUUUAUAUAUAUAUAUAUAUGGUGAAAAUUUGGUAUUAAAUGUUGUCAAAAGUGUAGAAAAAUGCUCUUGUUUAAUUUACGGAAUAUUUCUUUUUCUACCUCUCAAUCCAUCAAAACAAUGUUGGACUGAAGAGAAUAUUUAAGGAGAAUAUAGAAUAUGUGUGAUGUUUGGAAACUGUUUUCUUUCGGUAAAGAAUGAAUAAAUUAACAAAAUAUCCAUCAAAUUCCUUCUUUCGAGAAAAGUUGAUUGUCUAAAAUCAAUGACCUUAUUGAUCACCUUCUUGAGCCUUAUAGACAAAAUCUUGGAUAUAAUCUUAAAGAGACACCCCAGCAGCGAAAUAGGUCUAAAAUCACACAACUGUUGUGGAUUGUCGAAUUUAGGAAUUAGACAGAUAAAAGAAGUGUUUGACCCCUAGGUCAUUUUCUACUAUUUGCGGAGUCAUUCAAAGUCACGAGAAUAUCCUCCUUUAAACAAUCCCAACAGAAUUUAGGAAAACCAAAAUUAAAACCAUCUGACCCUGAACUUUUCGAACUGUCGCAACUCCAAACUACAUUCUUAACUUCCUCCUCUGAAAAGGCACCUACCAACAUCACGUUGUCAUCACUAUAAAUAGUGUUAAAACCUACAUUAUCCAACCUAACCUGCCGUCCAAGUUCCUCGUCAAAUAUGGUCUUGAAAAAGAUCUCUAACCUUAACUUUAACCACUUCCUUGUCUUCACACCAAAGACCAUUCUCAAAGACCCCGUUAAUCUCAUUUCUCGCUCUUCUCCACUUGACAGUGGAAUGAAAAAUCUUUGAGUUUAAAUCACCUUGUUUAAACCACUUUUGACGGGCUUUUUGAUACAACACAGCUUCUUGUUUAAAAGAGUUCCGACUUUGCUCUGCAAGCAAUAUUCUUCUUUCCUCCCUUCCGAAGUCGUCUCAUUCGUUUUCAUCAUCUCUUGCAUCCAAUUCUUGAAUUUUCUUAUACAAAUCUUCCCCUGCUUGAUUAACAUUCCCAAAGGCCUCUUUAUUCCAAAUUUGUAAAUCCGCUUUUAACAUUUUCCACUUUUCCUUUCAAACAAACAUCCCUCCACCAUGCACCUCAUAGAUAAGCCACUUAUUGCGUACAAAGACACUGAACCUACCAUCACUUUGCGAAACAUCUAAACUUCUAAACGGUUUCGGGCCCCAAUCCGCACUCAUAUCUUUUAACACAAGAACACAGUGAUCAGAGGCAGAUCCACUAUACACGUACUAUUUACUAUUUGGUCAACUAUCCAGUCAAUCCCUGAAAACAAAAAUAUUGUCUAUUGUGCUCUUAAUCGACCUGUUCGGUUUGUACCAAGUAAACUUUCUGCUAACCAUCGAAAUAUCCAACAACUUUAACUUUCCGAUAAAAUUGUUGAAACUACUUAUUUAUCUAGUGUAAUUAGACACAGAAAUCAAACUUUCUCUCCAACUUCCUUCUGAUAGAAUUAAAAUUCUCAACUACACACCAAGUCUUUUCUUCUUAUAGAAUUAAAAUCUCCAACUACACACCAAGCCCUAUGUACCCCUUUAUUUAUAUAUUCUUUUUACUAAUUAAAAAAAUAUUUUAGUAAAAUAAAAAUGUUAGAAAUUAUUUUCAAAAGUUCGAAUAAUACACACUAUUACAAGUUUACUUUAUGUUCAUGUUUUUUAUAGAAUAAGAAAUGAUCUAUUUUUAUAUUUCAAAAAUAUUUUAUGAAAUUGAAAUAAAUAUGAUUAGUAAAGAAAAUUUAUAUUAAAAUUAUAAAAUAUCUAUUUUUAUCAUAAUUUCUAUCAUAACCACACGUCUCCAAUUUUAUUAAAAAAUAUUUUGAAAUCAACAAUUUUGUCAAUUUUGUCAAUUUAUAAAUAUAAAAACAAAACAAAGAAUCAUUCCUAUUUAAAAUUAAUAACAUAAUGAAUUGGGUAUUGUACAUACACAUUUAUUUAUUGCCAAUUGUAACUGCAUGGGUUAUACAUAUUACUGCACCCAUUAUUGAGGGACUGUCAUGGUACAAAUAAAACCCUAUCCACACCUAGAAUUAACAAGCACAAAACUCUUAUUCCUUUAUCUCCUUCACAAAGUUCUUAAAGUUCUCAUAAGAUGUUCCUCCUUUUGCUAUGUUCUUCAUCACUUUCUCCUUCAACAUCACACACCUGUGUUUUAUGUUCUCGUCAUUAAAGAUCUGUUCCACUUUGGUUUUCAACUCUCCCCGUGACACAACUNNNNNNNNNNNNNNNNNNNNNNNNNNNNNNNNNNNNNNNNNNNNNNNNNNNNNNNNNNNNNNNNNNNNNNNNNNNNNNNNNNNNNNNNNNNNNNNNNNNNAAUGGCCUCACUAUAUCAUAAUCACGUAUAUACCUACCAAUUACAAAUCUAUGUCAUGAUCAGUCUAAAUUUUCGGCUAUCAUACUAACUUCUAUGAAUAAGAAAUGUAGAAUGUUUCUCUGUUCACAUCAGUAAUUUAUUCAUUCUAUAUCUUGUCACAUUUCCUCGCACUUUCUCUGAUUCGACUUUUCCUGUUUUUAUCAUUAAACUUUUGUUUUUUUACUUUAUUAAUUGAUUUAGCAUUAUGUUGUCAUUAAACUAAGAGAAUUGUAUAAUUAUUGUAAAAAAUAUCUUUUUUAAUUUGGAUGUAUUUGAAAGGGAAAGGUAAAAAAUGAAAAUUUGGAUGUGAACACAGAAACGUUCUACAUAGAAACUUUCUACACAGAAACUUUCCACAUUUCUAAAAUUUGACAAGUACAUAUAAACACUAAAAGUGGAAAUAUACCAUUUUUUGGGUUCCAAGAUUCCUCUUAUAAAAUAUUCUGUUUUUUUUUUUGGUCUGUAAUCAGUUUUUAUUCAUAGGCCGAUUAUCUUUUCUUUUUGCACCCCAUGUAUGUAUAUAAGACACAAUUUUACUCUUUCUAAUUACUCAUUUUGAAUAAUAUUCUGCUUUUCAUACGAGCGUUUCUUCUCUUCUCUGUUCUUCUCCGCUUCUUUGAUUCUAUCAGAAUCAUCAAAGAUUUCUUUUCCUUUUUCUAUAAUUGUCAUUGAUAUUUUGUAAUAUGGUAUUAAAGCUCUUCAUCGUGAAGGGUUCUGUUGUGCGCACUCUGAUUCCUUCUUCAUUCUUGAUAUUUUGUUCUUCCGCAAAUUUUUCAAUAUUUUUUUUUUUUUUUUUUGACUAAUGAGUUUCUCUUUUGCAUUUUUGAAGUUGGUCUCAAUGAGUACAAAAAAUCCUGAUCGAAGCAAAAACCCUAACCUUAACCAGAAUAAAAAUCCCAUUCAAAGUGACAAUCUCGCUCACAACUUCUUAUACUUCACUCGAGUAAAAACCCUGCAACUCCUCUCGUAUCUCUAGUUCUUGAUUUGAUAAAUUACCACUCUUGGAGUCGCUCAGAUAUCACUGUGUUAAGUGCAAAUAACAAGGUAGAGUUUAUCAAAGAUGUGAUACCUCAACCCUCUGAAUCGGAUCCCUUCUUCUCGUCCUGGAUGUGCUGCAAUGCCAUGGUGGCGUCUUGGCUUGUGCAUUUGGUUUUUGUUCCCAUACGUAAAAGCAUCAUAUGGAUGGAUAAGGCACUAGAUGUCUGGAAUGACCUUAAAGCUCGCUUCUCACAAUGUGAUAUGUCUCGCAUUUCUGACCUCCAAAUGGAGGCCUCUCCUAUCAAUCAUGGUGAUCUUUCUGUAACUAAUUAUUUCACCAAACUUAGGGUUAUUUGGGAUGAAUUAGAUAAUUUUAGACUUGAUCAUGUAUGCACCUGUAAUGGUUUUUCUGUUAUUGUACAAAGAAAAAGAGAGGAUCAAGCCAUGUAGUUUUUACAUGGCCUCAAUGGUCAAUACAAUAACGUAAAGGCCCAUGUUCUUCUCAUGGAGCAUGUCCUUGCUAUUACUAAGAUUUUUUCUAUGGUUGUUAAACAAAAGCGUCAAUUUAAUAAUAGUUUAGUUGCUCAUAUAAAAAAUAAUAAUUAUGUUAUUCAUACCAAUGUCAAUUUUGUUACUUCUUUGGAAAACUGGAUCAUAAUGAAACUGUAUCUUUUAAGAAAAAUGGUUAUCCUAACCAAGAUUGUAAGGGAUCAAGAUCUGGCAGUAAUAACAGAAAGGUUUGUACCUACUACAAUAAGAAUGGGCACACUGUAGAUGUCUGCUAUAAGAAACAUGGAUACCCCCAGGUAUAGAUUUUAAUAUGGUAAAUUUUCUCAUGCCAACGAUGUUGUUGCUCAAGAAGACAUUGUUGGUGGUCAAGAUCAGAAUAAAAAUAAUGGUAGUGGUGACUUCCGAAUCACCCAAAGUCAGUUUCAAAUCCUUUCGAAUAUUUUGAAGAAUGUAAAUGUCUCAAAUAGUCAAGCUCAAGUGAACCAGGUUGGUUCCAUUUCUGUUGAUCUCAAGAUCAAAAUUCAGCUGUGACAGGUAAUCUUUAUGGAUUUCGAAGUUUUAUCUUCAAUAAGCAUGCUUGGAUUCUAGAUUUUGGUGCAACAAAUCAUGUUUGUUUUGACCUAUCUAAUUUUUCAUCAUAUAAUGUUAUUAAAACCAUUAUUAUUAAACUUCCGAAUGGAAAUUUUGUUAUUGCUUCCUACUCUGGUAUAAUAACUUUUAAUGAUAGAUUUGUUUUGAAAAAUGUCUUAUAGGUGCCAAAUUUUUCUUUUAAUUUGAUUUCCAUAUCUCAAUUUACUACAUCUCUUAAAUGUGAGCUUAGUUUCUCCUCUGCUGAGUGUUCAAUACAGAAUUUCAUAACCAAAGACAAGAUUGGUAUAAUUGAUGUUGUGGUUGAUUUAUAUGUCUUCAACAAAGCUGGCAAAAAUAUUCUAAGCAGUGCUACAAAACAAAUGAAUAUUUGGCACUUCCGAAUGGAUCAUCCUUCAGAAGAAAGGUUAAAAGUUUUACAAACUUAUUAUCCUAAUAUUCAUAUUGAUAAGGACUACAUUUGUGAUGUUUCUCAUCAAGCAAAACAAAGAAAACUUUAUUUUUCCCUUAGUGACACUAGAAUUGUUCAGUCUUUUGAAUCACUUCAUAUUGACAUUUGGGGUCCUUGUUCGGUUGUUUCAAUGCUUGGUCAUAAAUUUUUCCUUACUAUAGUAGAUGAUUUUACUAGGUAUACUUCGAUUUUUCCCACAUAAUAAGUCUGAAGUCAGGGUUAAUGUUACCAAUUUUAUAACUUGUGUUGAAAAUCAAUUUUCUACUAAAGUUAAAAUUAUUCAUACUCAUAAUGGCAUUGAUUUUUUCAUGCAUGAUUUCUUUGCAUCCAAAGGUAUUAUCCAUCAAACUACUUCUUUUGAAACAUCAAAACCUUUUGAAUGUCACUCACACUUUACUUUUUCAAUCUAGUCUCCCUGCUGUUUUUUGUUAUUUUGUUGUGCAACAUAUUGCAUUUCUUAUUAAUUGCAUGCCUACUCCACUACUUAACAAUGUCACUCCCUAUGAAAACUUAUACAAAAGUUGCGUGAUAUUUCUCAUCUACGUGUUUUUAGAUGUUUGUGCUACUUUUCUACCAUUCUUGCUCAUAGAAAAAAAACAGGACAAUCGUGUUGUUUCAGAUGUUUUCCUUGGUUUUAAACAUAAUACAAAAGGUUUCCUCUUCUUGAACCUCAAAAGUCACAAAAUAGAUUUAUCUAUAAAUGUUAUUUUUCAUGAAAAUUCUUUUCCUUAUUACACCAAGUAUGUACAAAAUAAUGAUUCCAAUAGUCUCUCUUUAUGCCCAGACUUAUGAUGAUCUUAACAUGCAAUCUGAAAAUAAUGUUCAUGAUGUUUUACUUGAUAAUACUGUUGAAACUAAUGCUGAGAUUGAACAAAGUGAGAAUGUUACUGCUUCUUCUAGAAGAUCAACUCAUAGUAGAAGAAUGUCAGCUUAUUUACAAGACUUUGAGGUAUCUAAUAUCAGUAACAAUACGGUAAGUACUAAAUACCCAAUUAAUUCCCUUUUAAAUUACAAUUCUUUGUCUGAUAAUUUCAAAUAUACAAUCAUGUUGAUUUCAUCUACCGAGGAACCUCGAAAUUAUGAGGAAACUAUCAUGCACACAUCCUGGGUCCAAGCAAUGAAAGAAGAACUUAAGGCACUCGAAGAUAACAAAACUUGGUCUGUAACCGAGCUUCCUCUAGGAAAAACUGCCAUUGAAUUUCGUUGGGUGUAUAAAGUUAAACACAAAGCAGAUGACUCUAUUGAACGCUACAAAGCCCGUUUGGUAGCAAAUGGCUACACUCAAAUCGAAGGUCUUGAUACUUUUGCUCCUAUAGCAAAGUUAACCACUUUUCAAUUGCUUCUUGCCUUGGCAGCAGCUCACAACUGGACACUAAAGCAACUUGAUAUUAACAAUGUUUUUCUGCAUGCGAAAUUAGAUCAAGAAGUAUACAUGGUUUUGCCUCCAGGACUUCACUUUUCAUCUACAAAUCUGGUUUGUCACCUCAGAAAGUUGUUCUAUGACCUCAAACAAGCAGGAAGGCAGUGGUAUGCUAAGCUUUCAAACUUUCUCUUUUUUUUUCCGCUUGUUGUCUUAAAAUAAGGAACUAAGGAAAGAGUGAGAAAUCGUAUAAAAACUGUACAUUAAUAUUAAUUUAAAAAAUUAAAAAAUAAUUUUAUUUUUUAAGUAAUUCAUAUGAAAUGACAAAAUACUCCACUAUAUUAAUAAAAUGAGAUAUAUUAAAUAAGGGUAUAAUCGCAAAAAAUUUGUUUACACUAAAAGGCGGUUAUAAUGGGGAAUCCCCUCUAUAUAUAUAAGUAUAGAUUAUUGAUAAAUAGUUUCUAAAUUGAUAUCUAAUUAGUUAUCAAUUAUUUAGAUUCUAAAGUUGGUAACUAAUUAGAUAUCAAUUUAAAAAUCAUUUAUCGAAAAUAGAAACUAAUUUAGAUAACAAUAAUUUUUUUAGUCUCUAAAAUAAUAUUUAAUUUAGUAAAUAUGAUUAUUAUUGACAAUUAUUAUAUUAAUUUAAUAAAUAUAAAAACUAAUUAUUUUUUGUCUUUAAGAUUAAUUUUUAUUAAUGAUUUCACUCUAAAACUGAUUUCACACCACACUGGAUUUUUUUCCUUAUUUUUUUUAAAGAAAAUAUGAAUUUUAGGUUAUUAUCAGUCUCUUUCUUUCUCUUGCUCUCUCUUAGGCUCUUUAAUGAGAGUUUGAAAUUUCUUAACUCCAUUUUUCCUAUAGAAUAUUUAGCACUUAUUUAUUAGCUUUGUUAAGAUUUUAAGUCAUCUCUUCACUACAAAAAAAAUCACUUUUAGCGACCACCAAAUUCGGUCGCUAAAAGCACUAUAAUCGGUCGCUAAACAUAUUUGCGACCGAAACGGCUACCAAAUAAAAUUGGAAGCGAAAACCCUAGUCGCAAAGCAUCUAACGAUCGAAUUAUAAAGUGGUCGCAAAUUUGCAACUGAAAUAUCAGUGGCUAAAUCGGUUGCAGACAAUUUGGUCACCAAAAUCCAGGAACCAAAUUAGUGACCACCAUUUUCGGUGGCUAAAUCGGUCGCAAACAAUUUGGUCACCGAAAUUCAUAACCAAAUUAGCGACCACUAUUUUCGGUGGCUAAAUCAGUGGCUGAAAUGAAAGGUGAUAGCGACCACCAUUUUUGGUCGCUAAUGAUUAAAAUAUUUUUUUAAUUACAGCGACCAUCAUUUUCGGUCGCUAAUGAUUAAAAUAUUUUUUUUAAUUAUAGCGACCAAUUCUCUUUCGGUUGCUAAACAACAACUUUGUAGAUAUAACAUAACCACCAUAUCAAUUGGUGACUAUUUUUAUAUAUAUUAUUAAUACUUAUUAAAAAUGUAUUACUAUUUUUUUUUGAAUUUUAACUUUUAGUUCUUAAAGACAUUAGGUUAUUGAGUUUAAAAUUAUAUUUACAACUUAAACCUAUGAUUUUUACUCUACAUUAAUUUCAAUUAUCCAUAAAACUAGGGUUAAACUGAAAUGAUAUAGAUUAUUUUUUAAGAGAGACUGAGGUAGAAGAAUGUAGACAAAAAUAUUUAAAUAUAUACAUGAUCAUUAAUUAUUAAUUAAUUAGUAAACAGCUUUGAUGUUAAUGUUUGUAUGAAUAAAAUAUUCCUUUUAUUCCUUCAUUGUAACUCUCUUUAUUUUUUUAUUCUUUAGCUUUUUUUUUGUUAUGUUCUUGGUUAAUUUUUUAAAAAUUUGAAACAGUUUAUUUCGGCACAUUGAAAUAUUUGAAUUGUAACAUAUUUAAAAACUAAACUAACCAUUUUAUAUAUCUUGCUAGAAACAAAAUACAAAUCUCACUAAGCAUGCUCAUUUGUUUUCGGUGAAAUUUAUUAUAGUUUAAAAAANNNNNNNNNNNNNNNNNNNNNNNNNNNNNNNNNNNNNNNNNNNNNNNNNNNNNNNNNNNNNNNNNNNNNNNNNNNNNNNNNNNNNNNNNNNNNNNNNNNNNNNNNNNNNNNNNNNNNNNNNNNNNNNACUUAUGCAGUUAUUUUAUUUUCAACCAUUAAACUUAAUACAACAACGUAUUUUAUAUAUAUUAAUUAUCAAGUCAUUGAUUACUCUUUUAACAUAAUAUAAGUCAUUGAUUUACUUCACUUUAGAAAUAUAAAACUUUAAUAAAAAUAUUAAGUAAAGCAGAAAUUAAAGAAAUAAAACUUAAAACUGUACACUAUGCAUAUUCUUCAAUCUACUUCUCAAGUUUCUCAAAAUGAUGCAUGUAGCUGCACACCUAAUGAGUGAAUGAAACUAACCCUUCCUCAUUAUUUUAUUUAUAUAACUCAUCCACCUUUUCCACUUUUUGGCAAACAUUUGAUUCCAUCUAAAUAAAUAAUCAGUUAAAUAAGUAGGAAAGUAACCUCACCCGUCAGUUUUCCUAACCUUGUGUUCUGCAUAAUCUCUAUUUCCGAAUUCAUUCACGUUUAGUCAAAUUGAAUUUUAACUUUGAAAACAGAGACAUCAUGAGAGGCAAACCAACACCAGCUCAGCUUAUUCCCUAUCUAUCUACCAAACAUGAAAUAAAUUCCCCAAACCCAACAAUCUUAUAACCCAACAAAAUUAUACUAUGAGUAAGUUAAAUGUUAUAUUAAAUAUAGUUUUUAAAAUGAUAAUUAAAAAUCACUAACUAUGGAAUGUAAAAAAUGGUUAUUGUUAAAUUACCUGCUCAGGUGCACAUAUCCUCACCUAACAGUUUGUUCCAAUUAAUUUACACUUCCGAGUAUGAAUUGGAAGGAAUAGUAGUCAUCUAAAAUCCUUUUAUUUCUACUUUCCUGCCUUACAUUUGUGUAUUAAUCUAAUCCCCAAAAGGUUCCAAAAUGAGAAACUCUCUUGCAUUUUUUUUUUGCCUCAGAUCUUCUGUUUCAUAUUAUUCAGUUUUCAACAUCAAGUGCAAACAAAAUCCACCAUUGAAGCAUGCAAGGAGUUAGUUUCAAAUUGUCAGCUAAAAUCACCCGCUGGAUCCACACAUAAUUGUAUCAAGUUUCUGAACUUCCUAUACUAUUCAACAAAUCAAUUGAAUUGUCAAUUCCAGCAAGCAUUAUAGGAAAAUGAAAAGUGAAAACUGCACCAAAUAACUAAUGAUUUUCACACUAUAAUAAAAAAACAAACAAACACCAGUUGCUGCAGGUUUCUAAAACCUACAACAUUCAAGAAUGAACCAAUUCACCGAAUCAAAUACUAAAAUUUGCACCGAAAUUAGUGCUCUGUUUCAACAGCCCCAUGAUUGAAUCAAUUAUGCAACGAACCAGCACUCAGAUGCAAAUACACUAAUUACAAACAAGAUUAGAUGUGCACAAAUCCUUACUGCACCCAUUAUUGAGGGACUGUCAUGGUACAAAUAAAACCCUAUCCACACCUAGAAUUAACAAGCACAAAACUCUUAUUCCUUUAUCUCCUUCACAAAGUUCUUAAAGUUCUCAUAAGAUGUUCCUCCUUUUGCUAUGUUCUUCAUCACUUUCUCCUUCAACAUCACACACCUGUGUUUUAUGUUCUCGUCAUUAAAGAUCUGUUCCACUUUGGUUUUCAACUCUCCCCGUGACACAACUCCAUUUUGAUCUUUGUCAAUCCCCAACCCAACCUUUAACUCAUCACAAAUAUGUGUUUUGUUGUAAAGUUGGUCUCCGAAGUAUGGCCAACCCAAUAAAGGUACCCCACUGGACAAACCUUCCAUGGUAGAAUUCCAACCACAAUGAGUGAGAAAACAUGCUAUGGCAGGGUGACUUAAAACCUUUUGUUGAGGAGCCCAAUUCACUAUCUUACCCUUAUGCCCUUGGAAUUCAUGAGGGUAUGCCAUUUUAUUGUCUUCUCUUAUAACCCAAAGAAAAGGUCUAUUGGUGAGGUCUAGUCCAAGGGCAAGUUCGUUGAAUUGGUUUUGGUCAAAAAGAGUGAUACUACCAAAGGCAACAUACAACACAGAACCAUCAGCUUGUUCAUCUAGCCAACUCAUGCAGGACUGGUCUUCUUUCCAGAAUUGUCCCAUUGAUUUUGUAGCUGCACUUUUGUUAUCAUCAUUAUCAUUGCUUUUCAACAAUGGCCCAAUUGGGAUGAUCUUCGGAAGAAAUAAAAAUGUUCCUGGUUCAAGUUCGUGUGUGGUGUUGCAAAGCCACCACUGUGUCAAAUGUAAACUUGGUGCGUAAUGCAGCAGAUACUUAAGCAGUUUCUUACCAUUUACACCCAUAUUCAACCAAAAAAAGUCUUCUGGAUCCAUCUCAGGCAUACUUGUUGAAAUCCGAAUUCUCUUUUUCGUGGUUAAUGUUAA
rnacentral:lncRNA from 1 species